rnacentral:misc_RNA from 1 species
UAAUAAGUGUUUUAUGGCACUUUUUAAAUCCAUAUCCACCUUGUGUUGCAAUGUCGGUCGAUCUUCUUUUUUGAGGAUCGACCAAACAUCAACCUUUAUUUUUAACUCUUUGUCUGAAAAAUAUUAUGAAUAAACAAUUCAAAAUA